rnacentral:misc_RNA from 1 species
AAGUCGUAACAAGGUUUCCGUAGGUGAACCUGCGGAAGGAUCAUUAACAAACAGCAAAGCAUAUGCGAAGCAUAAGCGAAGCACGCACAAUGUGUCAUGAAGUGUGCUGAUGGUGUCCCGGUGGGGAGUGGGAGCGCAGCAUGAACAACGAUUGUCAUAAAACAGUAUGUACGUAUAACAACAACAACUUUUAACAAUGGAUCUCUUGGCUCUU